rnacentral:rRNA from 1 species
CGCACUUGGCACCUGGAGUUAAUCCAGGUAUACCUGUUUGAGCAGAAUAUCUAAAUUAUAUCUGAGUCUCACAUUUAAAGUGUGUGACUUGAAAUGAGUCUGCAAUAGGACGUGCAACCAGUGCGUCUUCUGUGUGAUCGCAAGGCCGUGGUCUUGAUUCACAGAGGAUGUAGUGUAAUUGUGCGGUUAAACCUGUUCAAUACCCUAAAUAUCUGUACAUUCUCUCUCAAAUCAGGCAAGAUUACCCGCUGAACUUAAGCAUAUCAGUAAGCGGAGGAAAAGAAACUAACAAGGAUUCCCUCAGUAACGGCGAGUGAAGCGGGAAGAGCUCAAAUUUGGAAUCACGGCACUUUGUGUUGUGAAUUGUAAUUUCAAGACAUGUGGGAACGCGGAAGGGCGUGUUCAAGUCUUCUGGAAUGGAGCACCACAGAGGGUGACAGUCCCGUCUGGAUACGCACAACUACAAACUCUCUAGUGUCGACGAGUCGAGUUGCUUGGGAAUGCAGCUCAAAUGGGUGGUAAAUUCCAUCCAAGGCUAAAUAUUGGCAAGAGACCGAUAGCGAACAAGUACCGUGAGGGAAAGAUGAAAAGCACCUUGAAAAGGGAGUUAAAUAGCACGUGAAAUUGUUAAAAGGGAAACGAUCGCGGCUGAGUGCGAAAUGUAUUGAAGGCAGUCUUCUGUGGGAGAUUGUUGUAUGAUGCAUUUCAAGUGGGAGUCNGUGCGGAUUGCUGAAUAAGACUGGAGUGAGGGCCAUGUGACUUCNGUUGCAUUGUCUCCUUCNGGACAGCGGCAGUCU